AGCUUUUUAGACUCCUGGGACAUUUUCUCUUGUUUUUUUUCCCUGCCAAGGGGUCUCCUUCCUUAAAUGGUGGUAUAAAGGUUCUAAAGGGACUGAAACAUUUGGAAGAAACACGUGUAAAUAAUUUAACAUAACUAGAGAAGUACCUUCUCCAGCAUUGAAAGAAGUUUAGGAUCACUUCUGCUGGUAUUAAGGAUAUCAUCAGUCCUCCCUACAAUCUCUGGAAUAUCUUUCAACAAAUUUUCCAUGGCUCACUAGAAAAUUCCAGUUCUUUCAACGAAUCUCUAACAAAUUUUGCCUUUUUCCUUGGAUCACUAAGACUGG